rnacentral:lncRNA from 1 species
UGAAAACCCAGAAAAAUACAAAAGCUGCAUUUUUACUGUUUCAUGGAAGACUUGAGAGUAAAAAAUAUCCAAAAACUUCAAACGGCCAAAUUCAUACUGUUUCAUUGAUCUCUUUACUGAUUUCUGAAAUUUUCCCGUUCUUAAAUACCUUCUAGUUCAUUUGAGAUUUAGAUAAAUUGAUUUGAGGUUUAAAAUAUGACAUUGGUUUCUGGGUUGUUUAAG